rnacentral:rRNA from 1 species
GACGAACGCUGGCGGCGUGCCUAACACAUGCAAGUCGAACGGAACUGUUUUGAAAGAUUUCUUCGGAAUGAAUUUGAUUUAGUUUAGUGGCGGACGGGUGAGUAACGCGUGAGUAACCUGCCUUCAAGAGGGGGAUAACAUUCUGAAAAGAAUGCUAAUACCGCAUGAUAUAUCGGAACCACAUGGUUUUGAUAUCAAAGAUUUUAUCGCUUGAAGAUGGACUCGCGUCCGAUUAGUUAGUUGGUGAGGUAACGGCUCACCAAGACCGCGAUCGGUAGCCGGACUGAGAGGUUGAACGGCCACAUUGGGACUGAGACACGGCCCAGACUCCUACGGGAGGCAGCAGUGGGGGAUAUUGCGCAAUGGGGGCAACCCUGACGCAGCAACGCCGCGUGAAGGAUGAAGGUUUUCGGAUUGUAAACUUCUUUUAUUAAGGACGAAAAAUGACG